UCCUUUAUCUAACCACUGAAAAGAUACUUCCGAUAUAACCGCAGAAGACGGUGUUUUGUCAUCAUACAGUAAUAUCUCAUGACUCAUGUAUUGUCUAAAGAUGGCAAAGACUCUCCGGCGCGUGUGGAGCACAUGUAACAAUAUUACAAAUUUGUUAAAUAAUAAACGUUUCGAAACACAUUUCCAAAGGCUAGUUACUGAAAACUAGGGAGGAAAAAAAAAAACUAAUAGAGAGAGAGAGAGUCUAGAGCCUCUCAUAAACCCCCUCCAAAAUCCUAGCAUAGCCAUGGCGCAACGACUACUCCGCCUCCGUCGAGCCCUAACCCCUCUCUCUUCAACUCGGCAACGGAGCCCCUCUCUCCCCGCUCCUAUGGCAAUCGCACCACCAGCCGCACAGACGCCCCCAAUCAUUUCUCAAUGGCGGGGAUUCUCGGGAACGAGAGUGUCGAUGACGUCGACGGCUGCAAUAGGAGAGAAACAGUACUGGGCAUACGAGAAUUUAGGCGAAAUCACUGAGAACAAAACUCUGUUCGAAGGCUGCGCUUACAAUUACUGGCUGGUGACUGUUGAUUUCCCCAAAGAAGAACCCAAACCCUCGCCUCGAGAAAUGAUCGCUGCUUAUGAACGCAUCUGUGCCCAGGGACUCAACAGCAGUAUUGAGGAGGCGAAGAAGAGAAUAUAUGCUUGUAGCACAACUACUUUUCAAGGGUUUCAGGUUUUGAUGACGGAACAAGAGUCCGAAAAGUUUAGAGACGUUCCGAGGGUUGUUUUUGUAUUACCAGAUUCUCCCGGAAACAAGGAAUAUGAAGGAGACGAGUAUGAACAUAGAAUGAUCACUCCGGGACCAACCACAGUUCAAUUUCAGAGAGGGGGAGAAAGAUGCCGUCACCAGGGUAGAAUUCCACCUAGAUUUGACCAGCGAGAUAGUCCAAUUCCAAAUAAUCAAAGGCUGCAACCCCAGAAUAGUCAGCAAGGACGAUUGCCAGGAGGUGGUGGUAACUACAGGUCUCAACAAAAUGGUCCACCACAGCAAAAUCAUGGUCCUCCAGGGCUAGGAGGAAGGAUGCCGAUGAACAAUAGGGAUUAUGCCCCUGGAGGAAGGAACAUGUAUCCAGGACAACAAGGAAAUCAUGAUCCCCCAGGACAGCAAGGUUACAACCAUGGACAGCAGCGAAAUCAUUACCCCCCAGGAGGUGGUGGAAAUCAUGACCCCCCAGGACAGCAAGGUUACAACCAUGGACAGCAGCGAAAUCAUCACCCCCAAGGACAAGGUUACAACCAAGGACAGCAGGGAAAUCAUUAUGCCCCAGACCAAAGGAGCUUUCCACAAGGAGAUUGGAGGGAUCAUGGACCUCAUGGGCAAAGAGAUUAUAAGGGAGACAACUGGAAUUAUUCUCCCACCCAUGGUGGAAACUAUGGGCAAGGUGGAAUUCCACCAAGAUUUGACCAGCGAGAAAGUCCAAUUCCAAAUUAUCACGGGCUGCAACCCCAGUAUAGUCAGCAAGGGUGUAUGCAAGGAGGUGGUAGUAACUACGGAUAUCAACAAAAUGGUCCACCACAGCAAAAUCAUGGUCCUCCAGGGCUAGGAGGAAGGAUGCUGAUGAACAAUAGGGAUUAUGCCCCUGGAGGAAGGAACAUGUAUCCAGGACAGCAAGGAAAUCAUGAUCCCCCAGGACAGCAAGGUUACAACGAAGGAGAGCAAGUAGGUGGUAGUAACUACAGGUCUCAACAAAAUGGUCCACCACAGCAAAAUCAUGGUCCUCCAGGGCUAGGAGGAAGGAUGCUGAUGAACAAUAGGGAUUAUGCCCCUGGAGGAAGGAACAUGUAUCCAGGACAGCAAGGAAAUCAUGAUCCUCCAGGACAGCAAGGUUACAACGAAGGAGAGCAAGUAGGUGGUAGUAACUACAGGUCUCAACAAAAUGGUCCACCACAGCAAAAUCAUGGUCCUGCAGGGCGAGGAAGGAUGCCGAUGAACAAUAGGGAUUAUGCCCCUGGGGAAAGGAACACAUAUCCAGGACAGCACGGAAAUCGUGUUCCCCCAGGACAGCAAGGUUACAACCAGGGAGAGCAGAGAAGUCAUUACCCCCCAGGACAGCAAGGGUACAACCCAGAACAGCAGGGAAAUCAUUUUCCCCCAGGGCAAGGUUAUAACCAAGGACGGCAGGGAAAUCAUCACCCCCCAGGACAGCAAGGUUACUUCCAAAGACAGCAGGGAAAUCAGUAUGACCCAGACCAAAGGAGCUUUACACAAGGAGAUUGGAGGGAUCAUGAAUCUCCUGGGCAAAGAGAUUACAGGGGAGAGAACUGGAAUUAUUCUCCCACCUAUGGUGGAAACUAUGGGCAAGGUGGAAAUAGUAGCUAUGGACAACGUAACCCAGGUGAAGGUUAGAGGUCUGCACAAAUGGAGCAGAUGGGCAUGCAAGGAGAGCAAGGGAACUAUGCACCAUUGGGACCACCAGGGUGGUCAAACCAAUGCAGGUGAGGACGAAGAAUGGUUUACUGACCUUGCAUGCAUGCACGCAUGACUUGUAGAUUUGUUGAUCGGAAGAUAGAUUAAAAUGCCAUCUUGUGUAGCUAGGUUAGCCCCUGACUGCUUACAAGUUAGAUUACUGGAAAGUUUUAUCAUCAAGAGUUUAGUGGUUACUAUUCUUCAAUUACCAAUAGAUCUCCUGGGAAACUCUGCGUGCUUGAAAGUGAAGUACACUGAUGAAAUGGAAGAUACUGAGAAGACUGAUGGUUCUCUGAGGUGGAAGUAAGAAUGGACCAGUAAUUCACUUUCAUCUUUCAAUUUGCAUUCUCACGAGACACAUGAAAUGAAUUGUCGAUGACUGGUUUGGUGAAUAGGCUUGCCUUCAUGAGACUAGUAGGAAAGUAGGAAAGCGGUAUUUUUCCCGUCUAUUUAACUGCUUGAGCUUCUUAGCGAGGUUGCUCGGUCAUGGCAUAUCUUCUACCACAAGCGUGCAAUCUGUCAUCUGUGUUUCAACUUUUUCCUGCCUUUUAAUAGAAGUUACUACGCAGGGGUAUAUGUUGUGGAAAGGAUUCCUAGCUAAUUUAUAACAAAGGACGAAAAGGCUUCAACAUUA